GGGCCCGCACAAGCGGUGGAGCAUGUGGUUUAAUUCGAUGAUACGCGAGGAACCUUACCAGGGCUUAAAUGUAGGAUGCAUUAGCUAGAGAUAGCUAUUUCUUCGGACUUCUUACAAGGUGCUGCAUGGUUGUCGUCAGCUCGUGCCGUGAGGUGUCAGGUUAAGUCCUAUAACGAGCGCAACCCCUAUUUUUAGUUGCUAACAGGUCAAGCUGAGGACUCUAGAGAGACUGCCGGUGCAAACCGUGAGGAAGGUGGGGAUGACGUCAAAUCAUCACGGCCCUUACGUCCUGGCUACACACGUGCUACAAUGGUAUGGACAGAGAGCAGCCACCUGGCGACAGGGAG
rnacentral:rRNA from 1 species